GACGAACGCUGGCGGCGUGCCUAAUACAUGCAAGUCGAACGAGAGCGCCCGGUGCUUGCACUGGUCAAUCUAGUGGCGAACGGGUGAGUAACACGUGGGUAACCUGCCCAUCAGAGGGGGAUAACAUCCGGAAACGGAUGCUAAAACCGCAUAGGUCUUCGAACCGCAUGGUUUGAAGAGGAAAAGAGGCGCAAGCUUCUGCUGAUGGAUGGACCCGCGGUGCAUUAGCUAGUUGGUGAGGUAACGGCUCACCAAGGACGUGAUGCAUAGCCGACCUGAGGGGGUGAUCGGCCACCAUGGGACUGAGACACGGCCGAAACUCCUACGGGAGGCAGCAGUAGGGAAUCUUCCGCAAUGGUCGGAAGUAUGACGGAGCAACGCCGCGUGAGUGAAGAAGGUUUUCGGAUCGUAAAACUCUGUUGUUAGAGAAGAACCAGUGCUGGAGUAACUGUUAGCGCCUUGACGGUAUCUAACCAGAAAGCCACGGCUAACUACGUG
rnacentral:rRNA from 1 species